GUUUCCAAUGAAGAAAACAUUUAAUCAACUUUAUUCAGUCGAAACACCUCUGAUAUUAUCAGGAGACCAAAGGCACUUCAGUGUUUCUUAGCUCUAAUUAUAUUCACUCAGUCAUACUGCUGGUAUGUCCCUCUCUAACCCCUACCACCUAGCUAUGGUAGUUAUAUUUAGGUGUGUGGUAUGUCCCCUCUCUAACCCCUACCACCUAGCUAUGGUAGUUAUAUUUAGGUGUGUGGUAUGUCCCCUCUCUAACCCCUACCACCAGCUAUGGUAGUUAUAUUUAGGUGUGUGGUAUGUCCCCUCUCUAACCCCUACCACCAGCUAUGGUAGUUAUAUUUAGGUGUGUGGUAUGUCCCCUCUCUAACCCCUACCACCAGCUAUGGUAGUUAUAUUUAGGUGUGUGGUAUGUCCCCUCUCUAACCCCUACCACCAGCUAUGGUAGUUAUAUUUAGGUGUGUGGUAUGUCCCCUCUCUAACCCCUACCACCAGCUAUGGUAGUUAUAUUUAGGUGUGUGGUAUGUCCCCUCUCUAACCCCUACCACCAGCUAUGGUAGUUAUAUUUAGGUGUGUGGUAUGUCCCCUCUCUAACCCCUACCACCAGCUAUGGUAGUUAUAUUUAGGUGUGUGGUAUGUCCCCUCUCUAACCCCUACCACCAGCUAUGGUAGUUAUAUUUAGGUGUGUGGUAUGUCCCCUCUCUAACCCCUACCACCAGCUAUGGUAGUUAUAUUUAGGUGUGUGGUAUGUCCCCUCUCUAACCCCUACCACCAGCUAUGGUAGUUAUAUUUAGGUGUGUGGUAUGUCCCCUCUCUAACCCCUACCACCAGCUAUGGUAGUUAUAUUUAGGUGUGUGGUAUGUCCCCUCUCUAACCCCUACCACCAGCUAUGGUAGUUAUAUUUAGGUGUGUGGUAUGUCCCCUCUCUAACCCCUACCACCAGCUAUGGUAGUUAUAUUUAGGUGUGUGGUAUGUCCCUCUCUAACCCCUACCACCAGCUAUGGUAGUUAUAUUUAGGUGUGUGGUAUGUCCCCUCUC